rnacentral:rRNA from 1 species
GAUGAACGCUGGCGGCGUGCCUAAUACAUGCAAGUCGAGCGAACGGACGAGAAGCUUGCUUCUCUGAUGUUAGCGGCGGACGGGUGAGUAACACGUGGAUAACCUACCUAUAAGACUGGGAUAACUUCGGGAAACCGGAGCUAAUACCGGAUGAUAUUUUGAACCGCAUGGUUCAAAAGUGAAAGACGGUCUUGCUGUCACUUAUAGAUGGAUCCGCGCUGCAUUAGCUAGUUGGUAAGGUAACGGCUUACCAAGGCAACGAUGCAUAGCCGACCUGAGAGGGGGAUAGGCCACACUGGAACUGAGACACGGUCCAGACUCCUACGGGAGGCAGCAGUAGGGAAUCUUCCGCAAUGGGCGAAAGCCUGACGGAGCAACGCCGCGUGAGUGAUGAAGGUCUUCGGAUCGUAAAACUCUGUUAUUAGGGAAGAACAUAUGUGUAAGUAACUGUGCACAUCUUGACGGUACCUAAUCAGAAAGCCACGGCUAACUACGUG